GGGAAACCUGUGAGGAAGAGCUCUGUGUAAGCUUGAAAGCUUCUCUCUCACCAACAGAAUUUGGUCCAAUAAAAGAUAGAAACACAAAGCUGGUGAGGUAAUAAGAUGCUGAAGCCUCAUUUUCAAAAAGUGAAGCUACUGGCAAAAGAUUCUCCUGAACUGAGACCAAGAGCAACCGUUAGGUGCCAGGUCUCAAUUCUAGCAAUUCUGACUCGAUGGAAAAUUUCUUUCAUUCCUUGCCAGGAACAGCCCAACUCACUCUCUAAAACAAGCAAGUGACCACAAAUUGAAAUCACUGAGCUCAUCCAAUACUGGUGUUUAUUUUCUGUUGAACAUUAAGUGAUUUGAUGCUUUUAAUCAAAACAGAAGCCUCCAUCCUGCCAUAAGAUCGAUGGUGGUAGACCUUUGCACCCAUGGAUUUCUAGUGUCAAAAGUGCACAGAGACUGCAACUGUUUUAAAGUUUCCAGUGUAUAAAACAGCUACUUGAACUAUUUUCUUUUGUAAUGCAGCAGAAUGUGGUACGGCAACAGUCAGGUAUUGGCCUGCUGAUCACCAAGAAGUAGACUGGAAAACCACUCAAAACCAUGGCACAGCCAAUGCUGACAUACACCGGGUCUGAGUAGAAAGACAUUCCCACUGCGAAGAGGCAGAUGACGGUGAAGGAGACAGGAAUGAAGAGGGGAACCUGAGGAAAAGAGCACAGACCUUUCUAAUCAUAUCUGACCAUUGUAAUUUGUCUUAAUUUGUCCAAACACAUUAUGUGUUAGCUUGUACCCAAAUAUUUAUCAAUAGCUAUACUCCUGUGUCCGGAAGACAAGAAACCUAGCCAGUCCAAUCUUUCUGUACAGUCUGCCUCCAAUGAGUGGGAUGCAUGAUCUCUUUGAUAUGGUCAAAUUUGCCAUCUACUACAUUACAGUAACACCACCAGCGCAUACUCUCACCUCUCUUGAUGAGGCAUAGUCACUAAUGUCUGCUUCUAUCUCAGGAGUCGCCAUAUAUAAAAUUUAACACCUUAUGCAGCCAGGAAUUUAGCAGGAGGCAGAAAUCAACCAUGCCCCAAGCUGCUUUCUGAGUUUAUUACGGACUGGUCUUAGCUCUCAUCUGUUGAUACUGCUGGUGGAAAAUCAUGAGCAUGUGCUACCAUGAGUAGCGUGUGCCCUUUCAAAUAAAUGAUUUUCAAUGUG